CGGGCAGGCGGUUUGCUAAGACUGGUGUGAAAUGUCCCGGCUCAACCGGGAAGGGCCACUGGUGACUGGCGAGCUGGAGGGCGGUAGAGGAGCGUGGAAUUCCGGGUGGAGUGGUGAAAUGCGUAGAGAUCCGGAGGAACACCAGAGGCGAAAGCGGCGCUCCGGGCCGUACCUGACGCUGAACCGCGAAAGCCAGGGUAGCAAC
rnacentral:rRNA from 1 species